UACGUAGGGUGCGAGCGUUGUCCGGAAUUAUUGGGCGUAAAGGGCGCGUAGGUGGCCCGGUCAGUUCGUGGUGAAAGCGCGGGGCUCAACCCUGCGUCGGCCAUGAAUACUGCCGCGGCUGGAGCACUGUAGAGGCAGGCGGAAUUCCGGGUGUAGCGGUGGAAUGCGUAGAGAUCCGGAAGAACACCGGUGGCGAAGGCGGCCUGCUGGGCAGUUGCUGACACUGAGGCGCGACAGCGUGGGGAGCAAACAGG
rnacentral:rRNA from 1 species